rnacentral:rRNA from 1 species
AUUGAACGCUGGCGGCAUGCCUUACACAUGCAAGUCGAACGGCAGCACGGGUGCUUUCACCUGGUGGCGAGUGGCGAACGGGUGAGUAAUACAUCGGAACAUGUCCUGUAGUGGGGGAUAGCCCGGUGAAAGCCGGAUUAAUACAGCAUACGAUCUACGGAAGAAAGCGGGGGACCUUCGGGCCUCGCGCUUUCGGGUUGGCCGAUGGCUGAUUAGCUAGUUGGUGGGGUAAAGGCCUACCAAGGCGACGAUCAGUAGCUGGUCUGAGAGGACGACCAGCCACACUGGGACUGAGACACGGCCCAGACUCCUACGGGAGGCAGCAGUGGGGAAUUUUGGACAAUGGGCGAAAGCCUGAUCCAGCAAUGCCGCGUGUGUGAAGAAGGCCUUCGGGUUGUAAAGCACUUUUGUCCGGAAAGAAAUCCUUGGCCCUAAUACGGUCGGGGGAUGACGGUACCGGAAGAAUAAGCACCGGCUAACUACGUG